UCAAAUCGUUAAGUAUUCUUGAGAUGCUACUAAAUGUGAUCGAAUCUUGUCUUGCACGAAUUACACACAUUUUCCAUGCAAAUUAUCGAUUCACUACGUGUUACAAUAUUCGCAUACAUACACGUGAAAUGAAAAAUGAAAAACGUAUACAACUAAGAGGACAUGGAACGAAAUAACGCGUCGAGGAACGUUUAAUUCUUGAGAAAGUCGAAUUCUUUUAAUUCCGACCAAGUCUCUGACAUUGAUAUAAACGUCAAUAUCGAAUCGCAUUACUCAUGGCCGAUAAGCGUGACACGACAGUAUGCACUUGAGUAACAAAUUUAAAGCAAAUGCCAUACGUACGCGUGCAGGAUGAUGUAGGCAUUUGUUACUGCGUCAGUUCACUUAAUCCACCCAUCAAUCAGUGAAUUUUAUCUUGUAUUAAUUCUAUGAUAUAAUACCUCAAUUUUGUACCUUUUUGAUAUAGUUACUGCAGCUCGUAUUUCACUAUACAUAUUCCGCUAUAAAUCUCUUAAUAUGCAAAUUCCGUAAACUAUAAAGUGUAAUGUUACAAAAUAUAUCAUCGAACACGAGACUAUUAAUAUUUCACGAAAGACGAUAUAAUCUCUAGCAAUAUUUCAAAAAACAUGACUAGCAAGAAACAUUAAACCCGCAUGUGGCCAAGGAUGUGCUACAUCCGAUAUCGUCUUAAAGAACAGAGAGUUCGUGAACAGGACAGGUCUCUGGAUAACGAUGUUUUAAAGACCAAGAUAGAAACGGAUGUUCCAACAACGGUACGAGAACUCGCUGUACAAGUUGCAGUAAGUCGAUCAAAUCGUUACCUUGGUGCAACUAAAAACAUAGAAAGUUAAAUAAACGAAUUUCGUAAAAGUUGACCGCAUACGUUUACAACUAUCUAAUAAUACGUUCGUCGAUGGCAUAAUGAAAAUUCAACUGAGAAAUAAUAAAUAAUAUGCAGUGUGGCUCGCGUACCGAGCGAAAAUUCAAAGUCGAUUUUCUCGAAAACAAAGCCUCGAACGAAAAACUUUUAUUCUAUAUUUUCGACUUCUUUUUUCGCGUAGAAUCCCCCUCUUUCCGCUUGUACCGCCAGUUACCAGCCAUCCUGUAUACAUUGAAUAGUCGAAACUCUGCUUCUUCCGAGUCAAACGAUUUCAAACUAACUCAAAAUAUUUUCCCUAUUUUCUCUACUAUUUAUAUUAUUUGUAGCUUAUCGAGGUAUAAUCCAAUGAAUGACACUAUGAAACCUGCUGUCUCUAAUUUAAGCUAUCGUGUUCAACGGAACUUGUCAACGAUCAUCAUUAAUUCCGUCGUGCAAAUGUUGUAAAGACACGCACGCUGCUACACAACCAGGAAGCAACGCGAUGUAAAUUUCAGGCUUGCGUAGCAAUUCAAUGUAUCGUUAGCUACUUCCUGAAUCGUGAAACAACAUGGCCGUAAACCACAAGCCUUGAGAGGUAGCCCGUAUGACCAACGUAAUCUCUAAAAUCGAUCGAACGAAUAUGUUAUUAACUGUUAGCUGUUAACAGUUAGCUGUUGAGACCUGUUUCGAAAAUGUGUGCCUAAAACGUGUGGCGAAAAGUAAGCGACGACGAGUAUACUCGUCAAACGCAGAGUACGUGGAAACAGCAUCGUCAAACGCCGUUUAUUGAAGAGAAACCACGACGAGCCAGAAUCAUGGGAACGUCAAUAUUCCAGUAUUGUUCAAGUAGGCUUAAAAUUGCACGCGAAACAAUGACAAAGUUGCGAGAGCCCAAGUAUCGUACAGACUCGGGAACGUGUUUUACGAAUCACAGCUACUACGGUCGUAAUCAAGCGGUUAAUUCACAUAGUUGAUCAUGCAAAUAGGAUUCUUGCUUGAACCGUAAACAACGUGUUCCGAUGCAAGCUAUUAGCGGCGAAACUUCGCUUUAAAUCUUUCACCGAAAACUUCGGAAUAGUUAACUGUUACAACUUUUCCAGCGGUUGCUCGAGAAUUUAAUAACAACGCGGGUCUAUGUAUUUCGAUCGUCAACUUGAAUAUUAAAGUUUCUAGAUAACUGUGCUAUCGAUGUUCGAGCGAUCAUAAACGUAAAAUUCUAUACGAGAAAAAGCGGUCGAUACUUCGGAAAUUGUACACAUUCGUCCGUCGUCAUUGAUUCGUAGAGUUUGGUAAAAUUAAUCGGAAUUCCAAGUUUCACGAACGAACUUUUUCUUUUUUUUUUUUUUUUUUGCACGUGAAGAAAUCCUCAUGGACACUCCGCUGUUGCUAAUAAUCGGCAACAGCAGAGUAGUGUCGGAUCGCUAACAAGCAACUAGCGAGACCGUAUGUGAGAAGGACGGAAAAAUAUUUUACUGCAAGUAAUUGCGCGAUUUAAGGGACGAAGCUUCAAAGAAAUACGAGACAGAGGGCAACGAAUGUGACACGCGCACAGCGAACAGGGUAACUACACGCGCGUUUGCAUAAAACAUUUUAUUUACUUUCUCACGUUACAGAACGGGUUAUGACGUACACUUUCCACGCCGUGGGGAACACAUUUUUGGACGCGCGCGUACACUUGAAGCACUUCCUUGUCGUGUUUCAAAGGAUCCACUUCCUCCUAUGAAACUUAAAAUGCGUUUCUUCUCAAGCAUUCAAAAACCCAUGCAUAAAGGCAGCCUUUAAUUGCUCAAGCACGUUUCCACGGUUAUUUAAGCUUUAACUUCGAAACAAGAUUCCAAGUGCGUACUUAUUAUAAAAUGAAAAAAGAGACAAAAUUGAAAAAGAAAAAAAAGGAGAGAGAGAGAACAAAGCAGAUUCCAUCGUUGCGCGAUCGAUAUGCCUAAGCACUUAACGUAAUGGCCAACGAUAAAAGAUAAUACCUCGAGAUCGUUCCCUUUGACUCGUGAAAAUCGAUGGUACGUACGGCCAAUCACGGGUAAAAAUAUAUCUUACAAGCAAUUAGCUUGGUCCAGCGUGAAAAGCGGCGCAAACAAUUACUUUUAACGAAUCGCCGGCAAUUCUCGGUGGGGGCAAUUACUUUUAUCCAGCGGGAACAAUAGCCGCGUGAUCAGCGAUCAGCAGCGUUAGGUGCGGGUGAUUGGCGCGACAACGCGCACGAUAUGACGCGGAAUCGCGCGCGCCUUGCCAAUAUAAACCGAUGGUAGGCGUCACGUAGAUUCGUGUGCGGUUGCACGUGCAUUACGGCGGCUCGUUACCAGCCGGUGUAUCUAACCCAGUUGUCAAUUCGUAUAGCUUGUUUCGCACUCAUUCGACGUAUUGCGUCGCGGUGAAACGCGGCCAGAAUACAAAUAAAGUUUGGAGACCCCGCGAGCGAGCAACGGCAGCCAUUCCAAGUCAAACAGGAGCCCCGGCAGCUUUAAUAAUAUUCCUCGAGGACGAACCGUAUCGCUGUGUGUGACGCGGAUAAAUAAAUAAAAGUUUUCUGGGCGCCCGAGGACUUUGGACGAGUGAAAGAGAGAGAGAGAGGGAGAGAGAGGGAAAGAGAGAAAACGGCCUCCGCUCGGCCAACGUUCAACGCGAGAAGCAUGCGCGGCACAACGUGAUCGGAAUGUUCAUUGGUAAUUCAGAGUGGCCGAGCUAUCGAGCCCCGAAGGCGUCGAGCCGGGAUGAAGAUAGCAGAAGUCGAACGGAAACUCGUCGUAGAGAUCGCUUCGAGAUCGACUUGGGUGAAACGAAGCAAGGUGAAGAGCAUGCCCCAACAAGGAAUGGAAAAUAAGUGGAUCGAUCGGACGAAGAAAGACCAGAUCCGUGGAUGGAUUGCGAGCAAGUAUCGAGGAUUAGGAAACGACGAUUGCUAUCCGGAAAGAGACGAUGCACGAAGAUAAAGAAAAUGAACUGAAGAUAAGAGACGAGGACGACGCUACGAGCUAUGUUUCUCAGUGAAAUGAAGAAUAAUAAUUCGCUAAUCAACUGGAAAAAAAAAGAUUGAUCCAACAUUUCAAACAUCGAAGCUUCGGCUACGGCUACGUUCGGAAACGUUACAGAAGCGCGGAUACGUUUCCCAGUUUAAACUCUAGAUCCGAGGAUUUUUACGAGCGACUCUUCUUGCUUAAAAUGCUUGAUGCAGAAGCUGUAAAGGUUAACCAUAAAAGCUAGGUGCAUUAUCGUAUUUAUUGCGUGCUGUGUGUACACCAUUUUAUAGAAACAG